rnacentral:rRNA from 1 species
UACGUAGGGUGCAAGCGUUUAAUCGGAAUUACUGGGCGUAAAGCGUGCGCAGGCGGUUUUGUAAGUUUGUCGUGAAAUCCCCGGGCUCAACCUGGGAAUGGCGAUGAAGACUGCAAGGCUGGAGUCUGGCAGAGGGGGUGGAAUUCCGCGUGUAGCAGUGAAAUGCGUAGAUAUGCGGAGGAACACCGAUGGCGAAGGCAAUCCCCUGGGCCUGCA